GACGAACGCUGGCGGCGUGCUUUACACAUGCAAGUCGAACGGUGAAGGUGGAGCUUGCUCCGCCGGAUCAGUGGCGAACGGGUGAGUAACACGUGGGCAACCUGCCCCUAACUUUGGGAUAACUACUCGAAAGAGUAGCUAAUACCGGAUAUGAAGUCUGUAGGCAUCUACGGACUUGGAGGGUUUUUCGGUUAGGGAGGGGCCCGCGGCCUAUAAGCUUGUUGGUGGGGUAGUGGCUCACCAAGGCGACGACGGGUAGCCGGCCUGAGAGGGCGACCGGCCACACUGGGACUGAGACACGGCCCAGACUCCUACGGGAGGCAGCAGUGGGGAAUAUUGCGCAAUGGGCGAAAGCCUGACGCAGCAACGCCGCGUGCGGGAUGAAGGCCUUCGGGUUGUAAACCGCUUUCAGCAGGGAAGAAGCGAAAGUGACGGUACCUGCAGAAGAAGCACCGGCUAACUACGUGCCAGCAGCCGCGGUAA
rnacentral:rRNA from 1 species